CGCAGGGGCCCGAGCUGGCACCGCUGCCGGUACCUGAAAUCACCGCGGAGGUUCCCAGCGUCGGGCCAGCCCCAGCGCGACCCCGCGGGGCUCUCUCACGGAGCCGGCUGACCGGCGGGCGGCGGAGAGGCCCGGAGCGGUGCUGAGGAGGGCCUUCCCCCGGACCCUCCGCGGUGGCCAGGGGCCGUGGGGUCGUUCCUGGGGGCCGGGUCGCACCUCCCGGCCCGCCCCGCCGCGGGCACAGCCGCCCUCCCCUCAGGCGGCCGGCGGGGACCCCACCGCCCUCCCCGGCCCGAUCGACGCUGCUGGGGCCGCCUUCCUCGCCGCCGCCGCCGGCCCGACGCGCUUGCGCGUCCGCCGCCCCUCCCCGCCGCCGUGUUUACUGUUUGGUUGCCAAGGAGCCGCGCGGCGGGCGCGUCAGGGACGUGACGUGACGUCCCGCUCCCCGCGGAGACGCUACGAGCCAACGCCGUGACGCAAGUAUUUCCGGCCGUGCCCAUAUAUGGCAAAGCGGCGGCACCCUUCUUCCCGUGGCAGGCGUUGGGCGUCGGUGGGCGCGUGCGGCUCUUCGGCGGGAAGGUUCCAGAAGGGGGGGGCGGGGGCGCGCUCGCUCGCUCGCUCUCGCGCUCGUGAGGGCUGGGUCGUUGACCCAAGGGCCGGCGCGCGGCCGUUUCCUCAGCCUCCCCCGGGCUCUGCCCGGUCUUGUCCCGGCAGCGUCAUCACAGCGUCCCCACGCCGGGGCCGCCGUUCGGUGUGUUGUUCCUGUCGGGAAGGCAGGAAGCCCGUGGCUGAGCUCCGUGGGGGUGGCUCCUUGCAGGUGGGCGCCUGUUGUGGGCUGGCAGGGCUGCGUGGGCUCCGUUACCCCUCCUCCAGCACGCUCGUCCCUGCGGGGGGGGGUGAGGUGUCGGGAGAAGGAAUGGGAGCUUCCCUGGCUCCCCGUAUGGUGCUGAAUCCCAGCUGGGUUCACACGUAACAGCUUGUACCUUUUGCUGUCCUUAAUUAGAGCGCCGUGGCAUUGCCUCUGCACCUGCAAAUCUCCAUGAUUAAUGCUUAGCUGAAAGAAUUGAACUGUGAUAGUGGAAAAAUCAAAGGUGAUAUAAUUUGACUUGAUGUAAAAAAAAAUGCAUAAUAACAAUGUUUUUUACCUCCAUAUGGACUUAGGUGAAAGAAAAUAAUUAACUUUUUUUUUUACUGCACUUGCAGUAUUAGAGUUACCCUGUGAAGCCUGACUUAAGCGUAGCUGGUGACCAGGCACCUGUAUCCUUGAACACUUGUUCUGCCGGUUCUAUUGUUAUUUGUUUUGCUGUUACUUUGCCAAUAAAUCUGACUUGUCUGCUUUCAGUCAAAAUAGAACAGGAAGCCUGCCAAAAAAGUUGUCAGAGCCAGUGGACAGUCAAAAAAUAAAUGGAUUGUUCAGAGGACAUAAGGUUCUAGAAAAAACCUAAAUCAGUAUUUUGUUUUGUGCUCACUGUAGAGGAACUUAAGAAUAUUCCUGUGCUUGUACUCGGUUUUGUGAAAGAUUUAUCAGAGGGUAUGUCUCAAGCUGAAGUGUCUAUAGAAAAGGUUAUGAAACAACUAGCUGGAAUAAAAAGCACUGAACAGUUGGACUGCAUGACAUUCAUCCAAGAGUUCCAAGAGAAGUCAAGAUUUAAAUAGCUGAGCUGCUUACUAAUGGCUAUGCGUAACAUCUCAUUUAGAAGUGCUUUGAUAACAGAGAAUGGGAAGAUAGUUAAUAUGCCAAUUAAAAAAAAAAGAGUGGUUAGAAAAGUUCUGGAGAGCUGCUGAGCAGCAUGCCUGUUAUCUGUACCAGGCAAGUUAAUAAAAACUGUUUAAAAAGGGGAACUGGUGGGCACAGGCAGAAAAUGGUCUACCAGGGAGAGCUGGCAGGGCUUUUCUGAAGACAAGUCCUGGCUUCACAUGUUGUUUGGAGUCCUGUGAGGAGUCGGCAAAGCAUAUGGGUUUCUAAAAAGCAUUCAACAAAAUCUAUCAGCAAAAGCUUCUGAAGAAACUGGAGUAAGAUGAGUUUUUCACGUGGGUAGAUAACACUGGGUUAAAGACAGGUUACUAUAAGACAGAGCAAAAAUGUUUUCUUGGUGGAAGGAGUCAAGAUGUGAAUUUCCACAAGGAUCUGAAUUGGAGCCUGCGGUCUGAGAGGAGCUUUAGUGAAACGUCACAGUACAAAAUCUUUUGCUGAUAAGGUUGUUCUUUGACGCUGCUUCCGACAGGCUUUCCAGACCUAGUAGGUAGCCUGGUGACCCAGUGAGGAGGUGCUGAAGUGAAACUAACAACACUCAUUCUUCUCAUUGGAAACAGCGGAUGUCCACAAGGGACCUGGAUAUUAUAUCAACAGGAUAUCAUGGGAAAACAAAAGAAGGUCAUAACUAGCAUGUGGACAAAGUAUCUUUAUUAUUUCCAAUUAUGGAGCUCUUGUUCUGGGUUUUUUUUUCCCUACAUCUUUAGCCUGCAGUACAACAGAUUUUCAGCUCCUCUUCACUGAUUAUAUUUGAGCUCUGUUUUUAUAUAAAUGUUUUGUAACUUGAUCCUGUUGGCUAAAGACAACCAGCUGCAACUUAAAGGAGUCAUUUUAAUUCUGAUUGCAUCGCAUCUUCCAUUUAGUAAGGAUUUAGCUCUUUUUAAGUAGCCCAUCUUGAAUCUUCUUAUGCUAGUGAAUAAAGGACAUGAACCCAACU